UACGGAGGGGGCUAGCGUUGUUCGGAAUUACUGGGCGUAAAGCGCACGUAGGCGGCUUUGCAAGUCAGAGGUGAAAGCCCGGGGCUCAACCCCGGAAUUGCCUUUGAGACUGCAUCGCUAGAAUUGUGGAGAGGUAAGUGGAAUUCCGAGUGUAGAGGUGAAAUUCGUAGAUAUUCGGAAGAACACCGGUGGCGAAGGCGGGUCUCUGGGCAGUAACUGACGCUGAGGAGCGAAAGCGUGGGGAGCGAACGGG
rnacentral:rRNA from 1 species